ACGGGGGGUGCGAGCGUUGUCCGGAAUCACUGGGCGUAAAGGGCGCGUAGGCGGCCUGGCAAGUGGAAGGUGAAAUCCCUCGGCUUAACCGAGGAACUGCCUCCCAAACUGCUUGGCUUGAGACCAGGAGAGGUGAGUGGAAUUCCCAGUGUAGCGGUGAAAUGCGUAGAUAUUGGGAGGAACACCAGUGGCGAAGGCGGCUCACUGGACUGGUACUGACGCUGAGGCGCGAAAGCGUGGGGAGCAAACGGGA
rnacentral:rRNA from 1 species